GAUGAAGAACGUAGCGAAAUGCGAUAAGUAAUGUGAAUUGCAGAAUUCAGUGAAUCAUCGAAUCUUUGAACGCACAUUGCGCCCGCCAGUAUUCUGGCGGGCAUGCCUGUUCGAGCGUCAUUUCAACCCUCAGGCCCCCAGUGCCUGGUGUUGGGGAUCGGCCCAGCCUUCCUGUAAGGCCGCCGGCCCCGAAAUCUAGUGGCGGUCUCGCUGUAGUCCUCCUCUGCGUAGUAGCACAACCUCGCAGUUGGAACGCGGCGGUGGCCAUGCCGUUAAACACCCCACUGCUGAAAGUUGACCUCGGAUCAGGUAGGAAUACCCGCUGAACUUAAGCAUAUCAAUAAGCGGAGGA
rnacentral:misc_RNA from 1 species